rnacentral:lncRNA from 1 species
GUCCUUUUCUUUUUGUCUUGUAUACUUAUUCAGUGGUUGUUUGUUUAUGUGUUACAUAUUUGUUUUUCGUUCAUUUUUUGUACAUAAAUAAGCCGUUAGUUGUCUAGUUUUACAUUGUUAUUUCGGGGCAUUUUAUAGCUGACUAUGCGGUAUGGCAUUGGAUCAUUGUUGACGACCGUACGGUGACCUAUAGUUGGUAAUUUCUGUGUCAUUUUUGGUCUUUUGCGGAGAGUUGUCUCUUUGGCAAUCAUAACACACCUUCUUUUUUUAUAUCUAUUGUACACAUUUUGUUUUUGUCACUGAUUUAGUCACCUUAAAAG